AGCCUUAAGUGUCAUUUAAGGUGUCGCCUGCCCAGUGCUAGAAGUAAACGGCCGCAGUACCUUGACUGUGCUAAGGUAGCAUAAUCAGUUGGCUUUUAAAUGGAGUCGGGAAUGAAUGGAUUAAUAGGGUGAAACUGUCUCUGUUGUACUAUCUUGAAUUUAUUUAUUAGGUGAAAAUCCCUAUAAUUAGAAAAAAGACGAGAAGACCCUAGGAGUUUUUACUAAAGGUUAAGUUACUAAUUAACUGUUGUUUUUGUUGGGGCGACAAAGGAGCAAAGAUAUAUCUCAAUUUAGUAACCUCCUCUUUUAAUUUGCCGACUAAGUAUGUAAAAAUAAACUACCCUAGGGAUAACAGCGUAAUUCUUAAGAGCUUGCGACCUCGAUGUUGGACUAGGAAUUUGGUGGGCUAGCCGCCUAUUUAUAUUGUUCUGUUCGAACUAUCUUUCCUC
rnacentral:rRNA from 1 species